GGCGGAAAUACGUCACGGCGGGAGCGCUUCCGAGAUCACCGAGCUCGAGACCGGAGCCAAUUCCGUUAAAACCGUUGGGAAUCAGCCCCGGCGCGCGGCCAUUAAAGUUUGAGAAGGAUAAGGGCAGCUCGGAGGUGUCAGUGUUGCAGUUGAACAGGGGAAACUAUGGAGCCAUGAGGGAGGAGCUGGCCAAAGUUGACUGGACGGAUAGCCUAGCAGAAAAGACAGAGCAACAGCAAUGGCAGUUUGAGAAGGAUAAGGGCAGCUCGGAGGUGUCAGUGUUGCAGUUGAACAGGGGAAACUAUGGAGCCAUGAGGGAGGAGCUGGCCAAAGUUGACUGGAUGGAUAGCCCAGCAGAAAAGACAGUGGAACAGCAAUGGCGGGUAUUCUUGGGAAUAAUGCACAAGGUGCAAAAUCAGUUCCUCCCCAGAGAAGGAAGGAUUAAAAGGGGGGAAAGGGGCCACAGUGGUUGACAAAGGAAGUUAGUGACUGCAUAGCAUUAAAAAAAAGGAAGUAUGACAGAGCUAAGGUGAGUGGGAGGACAGAUGAUUGGGAAGUUUUUAAGGAACAACAGAACUUAACUAACAAGGCAAUAUGGGGAGAAAAAAUGAGGUACAAACACAAGCUGGCCAGGAAUAUAAAGGAAGAUAGCAAAAGCUUUUUUAGGUAUGUGAAGAGAAAGAAGAUAGUUAAGAACAAUGUUGGGCCCUUGAAUAAUGAAUUGGGUGAAAUUGUUAUGGGAAACAGAGAAAUGGCAGAAGAAUUUAAUGAGUACUUUAGAUCUGUUUUCACGAAGGAGUACACAAGCAAUCUCCCAGAUUUAUGGUUGGGCCAAGGACAUAGGGUAACAGGGGAAAUGAAACAGAUUGACAUUAGGAAGGAAACGGUGAUGAGUAGACUAAUGGGACUGAAAGCUGACAAAUCCCCAGGUCCAGAUGGUUUGUAUCCUAGGGGACUAGAGGAGGUGGCCCUGGAAACUGCGGAUGCAUUGGUAAUCAUUUUCCAAUGUUCCUUAGAUUCAGGAUCAGUUCCUGAGGAUUGGAGAAUGGCUAAAGUUAUCCCACUUUUUAAGAAAGAAGGGAGGGAGAAAACAGAGAACUAUCAACCUGUCAGCCUGACAUCGGUGGUGGGGAAGAUGCUAGUGUUGAUUAUUAAGGAUGAAAUAGUGGCAUACCUAGAUAGCAGUGAUAGGAUUGGGCCGAGCCAGCAUGGAUUUACCAAGGGUAAAUCAUGCUUGUCUAAUCUGUUGAGAGUUUUUCGAGGAUGUAACCAGGAAGUUAGAUGGCUGAGAUCCAGUGGAUGUAGUGUACCGCGAUUUUCAGAAGGCAUUUGAUAAGGUCCCACAUAGGAGAUUGGUGGGUAAAAUCAAAGCUCAGGGCAUCGGGGGGAAGACAUUGACAUGGAUAGAAAACUAGUUGGCAGAUAGAAAGCAAAGGGUAUAAGUGAAAGGGUGUUUCUCGGAAUGGCAGGUGGUGACUAGUGAGGUGCCACAGGUCUCAGUAUUGGGACCACAGCUGUUUAGAAUUUACAUCAACGAUUUAGAUGAAGGCAUUGAGAAUAACUUCAGCAACUUUGCUGAUGAUACUAAGCUGGGUGGCAGUGUGACAUGUGAUGAGGAUGUUAGGAGAAUUCAGGGUGACUUGGAUAGGCUGGGUGAGUGGGCAGAUACUUGGCAG